UGGAGAAGCCAGUGAUGGUGGGUGCCAGAAUGUCUGAACCUGUCUGAAGCAUCUUGGUGAUGCGUUCUGUGUGGCUCUGAGGCUUCUUCCUUG
ensembl:snoRNA